AGUAAGUGCCAUUUAAGUGCUACUAAAUUGUUAGUUUCAAAUUUUUGUAUUUUUUGUAUUUUUUUAAAAUUUAUUAUGUAUUUUUUUUAAUAUAUUAUAUUUUUAGACAUUGAUGCGGGCCAUUAAAAAAUGGAUGGCGGGCUGCAGAUGAUUGCGGGCCGUAGUUUGGACACCCCUGGGUUAGAGCAACAGACAUUAUGCGACUUCACAGGCUUCGUAUUUUUCCUUAUGAUGAGUGAAUUCAGUGAAUCCAUCCAAUGAGAAGGGAGGAUCUCUGGCAUCAGAACAUCGCCGGUUCUAACAUUAAAUGAUCCUGUUUUUUCUUUAUUUUUUCCCAGAUACAAAUGUCACCUUAAACACAGCUGGUCAGUACCGAGGACUCCUGUUAUAAAGAGAGAGGUUGGAGCAGUAUCUGGAUUCUCCCACAAACUGCAAAUGACUCAAUACUUUGGAACAGUUUGCCAGGGAAAGCUUUUCUUAAACACUGACAUCCCAGGACACAACAUUGACAAGCUGCCCGCCGCCUCUGCUGAACACUGUCAGGCUCUGUGCACUGAUAAACCAAGCUAUACAUAUUUCUCUUAUAACAGUGAUGACUUCCAAUGUUACUUGAAGGGAAAUCCAUCUGUAACGGUGACUAGAGCCAAAAUGGGAGUCACAUCUGGGAUACCGGUGCAGCUCUGCCAGAUGGAUAACAGUCGGCUUCGAGUGUCUAAUGAAGGAGUUAGUUUCCAAGGUUCUGACCUUCGAUUUGAGUCGAUGGAUGAUCCAGAAACGUGUCAGAGGACCUGCACUACAGAUCCACUUUGCCAUUUAUACUCAGUUAUAUUCAGGUACAGUGUUCAUUCAUGUCAACAAAAUCAUGAACCAGCAAGUAAGUUCACACAGAUAAAUCAUGAAACAUUUAACUUGAUCUUCACUAGAAAGGACCAUGCCCUAACAAUAUGUGAUUGAAAGGUUUGAAUGGAAAUUGAUAAAUUGGAUGUUGAGGAAAUAAUGAAUGGACAUUGAGGGAAGAGGUUGAGGUGAAGAUAGGAGAUGAGGGAGGGAGGAAAGAGAGGAUGAAGGAAUGAGGGAAGGAUGAAGGGAAGGGAAGAUAAACAGAGCAUUAUGGGUUGAUCAAGUAUAUUUAGUCAUGCCAGGUGAUUGCAGGUGUGGUUAAGGUUAGGCCCUGCUCCUAAGUAGACUUGUUAACUUCCUAUCAGAUCAACUAUCUGGUGUUGUCUACAUGGUGUUUAAUCUUGUUUUUUUAGAUUUUGUGACCAAGGCUACGCUGUUAUCUCAAGCGUGUCAUCACAGCACCAG